CGUUGCUUGGCUACACCGUCUGUUAGGGCCGCGCACGAGAUCAGUGACUGAGACCUCACCGCGUUGCCCCAGCACCAGGCUCGCGGGGUCCCGCGAGGGUCUCGGUAGCCGCGCGCCCCGAGACCCCCGCCGCGGCCCGAUUCUCUGAGCGCCAGACAUGAACCGCAAGAAGCUGCAGAAGCUGACGGACACCUUAACUAAAAAUUGCAAGCAUUGUCCAAGUUGUGGAAGCUUACCAAGAGACCCAUAGGAGAAAACAGUGCUCAACUUCUCAACAUCUUUCGGAGAGAGAGUUGUGUCAUCUCAUCUGUGCCUCAGAACAAUAUUUGUUUGGAAACCAGAGUUCAGCACAACUAAACACGUGUAUUCCGAGGUUUUGAUAAAGAUAAUGAUGGCUGUGUAAAUGUAUUGGAGUGGAUUCAUGGAUUAUCACUGUUUCUUCGAGGAUCUUUGGAAGAAAAAAUGAAAUAUUGCUUUGAAGUGUUUGAUUUGAAUGGUGACGGAUUCAUUUCAAAGGAGGAAAUGUUUCACAUGUUGAAGAACAGCCUUCUCAAACAGCCAUCUGAGGAAGACCCUG
rnacentral:sRNA from 1 species